rnacentral:rRNA from 1 species
GACGAACGCUGGCGGCGUGCCUAAUACAUGCAAGUCGAGCGCAGGAAACUGACGGAACUCUUCGGAGGGAAGGCAGUGGAAUGAGCGGCGGACGGGUGAGUAACACGUAAGGAACCUGCCUCAAGGAUUGGGAUAACUCCGAGAAAUCGGAGCUAAUACUGGAUAGUUCAACGGACCGCAUGGUCCGCUGAUGAAAGGCGCUCCGGCGUCACCUUGAGAUGGCCUUGCGGUGCAUUAGCUAGUUGGUGGGGUAACGGCCCACCAAGGCGACGGUGAAUAGCCGACCUGAGAGGGUGAUCGGCCACACUGGGACUGAGACACGGCCCAGACUCCUACGGGAGGCAGCAGUAGGGAAUCUUCCACAAUGGACGAAAGUCUGAUGGAGCAACGCCGCGUGAGUGAUGAAGGUUUUCGGAUCGUAAAACUCUGUUGUAAGGGAAGAACACGUACGAGAGGAAAUGCUCGUACCUUGACGGUACCUUACGAGAAAGCCACGGCUAACUACGUGCCAGCAGCCGCGGUAA